ensembl:lncRNA
AAACAGUUUGGUAACAUGCAUGUAAAGUGAAUUUGUCAUUCAUCACCAUGGGGAAAGGCAAGGAACUCUAAUGUUUAGCCUUCCUAAAUCAGGGAGAAUCAAAACCUGUGGGACAGCGGUAAACCUACAUGGAAGAGGAAAGGUUGCAGGAAAAUGCUUCUGAGGGCAACCAACAAAUGUGUCUGGAGUUAAAUGGCUUUGGGAUGGGGAACCAGGUGCUAGGAAAUGAAAUAGAGUUAUUUGGUAACACAUGAGUGGUGGCUUUGGUGUCGAAAGAAGGAUGCAUAUGCAGAACAGAACCCUGUACCUGCUGUAACAUUGAUUGGCUCUCAUUAUGGAGCCAAUCAAUGGGAAAACUGCCAAACCGUCAGGCCUGAGCUUUUUUGUAGGUCAUCUUAAUCAGAGGAGCCAGCAUUUUGGAGGUGACUGCGUUAUGUACGGGCAUUCCACCUGGAAAGGUGAUCAUCUGGAGAAAAAAUAUGGAACAAGAUUUAAACAUAUAGAAAUAUUUAUCUCUGUGCAACAUUCAGGUUACUGAACAUGUCCCAACAGGAUGUGAAUGUUAAUCAACACAGGAAGACGUCGCACAAUAGGACGGUUAAAACCGGCUUCCUCUACUGACAGCGGCCUACUGUCCCCUGAAGACAUGUU